rnacentral:snRNA from 14 species
ACACUUAGCUGACAGGGAGAUGAUCUGAUCAUGAAGAUAAUUUUUGAGAGUGAGCCUCAUCAUGAGCACCUUCAGGGAGGCUGACUCCUGCCAUUUCCCUUUUCUACAUCCAGGGAACUUGACUGUAAAAUUUAUGAUGUGAGAGACUGUUUUUGUUCUUUUUCCUG